rnacentral:rRNA from 1 species
GAUGAACGCUGGCGGCGUGCCUAAUACAUGCAAGUCGAGCGAACAGACGAGGAGCUUGCUCCUCUGACGUUAGCGGCGGACGGGUGAGUAACACGUGGAUAACCUACCUAUAAGACUGGGAUAACUUCGGGAAACCGGAGCUAAUACCGGAUAAUAUAUUGAACCGCAUGGUUCAAUAGUUAAAGACGGUUUUGCUGUCACUUAUAGAUUGAUCCGCGCCGCAUUAGCUAGUUGGUAAGGUAACGGCUUACCAAGGCAACGAUGCGUAGCCGACCUGAGAGGGUGAUCGGCCACCCUGGAACUGAGACACGGUCCAGACUCCGACGGGAGGCAGCAGUAGGGAAUCUUCCGCAAUGGGCGAAAGCUUGACGGAGCAACGCCGCGUGAGUGAUGAAGGUCUUCGGAUCGUAAAACUCUGUUAUUAGGGAAGAACAAAUGUGUAAGUAACUAUGCACGUCUUGACGGUACCUAAUCAGAAAGCCACGGCUAACUACGUG